GGGCGGGCGGGAGCCGGGGGCCCGCGGCCGGAGUUCCCGAGGCCGGCGCCCGGGAAGGGCAGGCUCCCGCGCUAGAGCCCCGGAUGUGCGCCCCGGGACCGCCAAAAGCCAGCUCAGAGAGGGCCAACCUGCUCAACUUUAAAGGAUCGGUCACGCUCGGACUCAGCCGACUCACACAGUGCGGGGCUCCUUGUACACACAGGAGUCCCUCCUGAUCCACGGUUUUGCUCUCCGGUGCUUUCAGUCACCCGUGCCAAGGGUGGUUUGAUCCGGAAUCAGCUGACCCUCCUUCUGACCUGGCACCAGAAGAUCAACCAGUAGCCUGGCGUCGGAUCACUACGCAUUCUAUCAUCUCACGUCAUCACAAGAAGGCUACUGAAGACAGGUAGAGUCCACACUGGUCAGCUCAGAAGGAAAAAAGAUAUAAAAAUAUACCCAGGAGCUUCUGCCUUUCAGAUCCUCCCCACACUCUGCUGCAGUGUCUAUCUUCAAUUUCGGCAGCCACACAAACUACCAAAACAAGAACAGCUCCAGAAUCUACUUUAUUCCUGGUUCUCAGAACUACUGGAGACUGAUACAGACUGGAUCCUUCACCCACAAAGUCACUAUAUCAUGCCCACAACUGCAUUUUCAGUGGAAAAGGACUCUACUGUCCAAGAAAUGGGAAGAAUACCACUCUGCCUGGAAUGCUUGUCAUUGCCAACUCUCCACGAGAAAUGAAGACACAGGCAUGUACAAAGGGAAGGCCACAUGAAGACCAAGGAAGAAUAUGCCAUUUGCAAGUAAAGGAGAGAAACCUGAGAAGAAACAACCCUGCUGGCAUCUUGAUCACAGACUUCUAGUCUCCAGAAGAUUAAUACUUCGUAUACAUACGACCUUGUGGUUCCUUUGCCAUAAUUCUAGGAUCACUUGAGCUCCACAGACCACUUGUUGCUGUGACAGAAAUGAAGAUAUGUGCCUACAACCAAAUACUUAAAGAACUCCGUGUUUGAUGUUCUGCUCCUAACUGCAGCAGUGUAUCACUGCGGCCCCUCCGUGAGCUUGUUCAAUAUUCUAGAGGCUUCUGUGGCUGGAAAUUGGAGAGCAUCAGGAAGAUAAACUCUAUGACAGCCAUCUAUUCAUUCAUAUAUGGAGCACAUCUGUUGACAUCUUAAAUGCUAAUUAAUAAAUACAGGACUUGGGCCUCAUGCAUAAUGAAGAUAAGCUGAAUUAAUGCUUUUUUCCUCUCUCCACAUACAAAACUUAAAUGGAACCUGAAGCAGCAUUCUUCCUUCCCUAAAGGCAGUUGUGAUUUCAGUUCAUAGAGUCAGAAAAACAAUUCUGAAGGCAUAGGUUUACUUCCAGAGAAAGAACUUUUUAAAAGACAUGGUAUUUGGCUGCCACUGGAGGCAAAUGCUUGAAUGAUUGUAUAGGCGAUGCCAAGAGAAACAUGGAUACUUUAAGGGCCACGUGGACCCAGUUGCUACUUAGGAUGCUGGCCGUGACCUAUUGCUAUAGGUUUCAGAGCCUGUAGUGACCAAUCAUAUCAAAGAACUUAAAGAGAAGGCCAUUAUUAUGCACAUUAUAAAAAUAUAUUGAGCCUUAUUACCUGCAAGGCUAUGCUUAUUUAAAAGAAAAGAAAAACAUGCCUUUCAAUGGCAGCACUGUUACAACCAGAAAGAGUUCUGUUCACCUAUGUGGUAGAAAAUACUUCAUGGCAGUAUGUUUUAGUGACACAAGUAUGUUUCUCUAUUUAGAUUUUUGGGAUGGAGAAAAACUGCUGUUCUACAAUAGUUCCUAAGUAAGCUAUAUUUAGUGUAAAAAGGAAAGAAAUCAGCCUUUCUUGCGCCGUGGUAGUUGCUUGGUUGUUAUGUUUGGAGCUGAAUCUGUAGGUGUACUGAUGCAUUUGUAGGAAAGAAAAAGUGAUUAUAUAUUUUAUUAAAUUAUAAGGUAAUUUGUUCUCUUAUCUCAGACUUGCUAAUGCUCUAGUCAUUUUUCCCUCUUUUUUGUUUGGUCAGGAGACCCGAUUUGUCAGGGAUAUAGAUUUUUGUCUAGUUAAAGGUCAGGUGCUGAACAAUUGAUUUGAUUGCUGAGCCAUUGGGUCAUUAAGUUGCCUGAAAUAACCUUGUUGCAAAUGUUCAUUAGUGAUCCAAUCUGGGACUCUGUACUCAGGACUUGCAUUAGCAUCUGUGGAAAAUAUUCCAUUGAAUUUUGCCUUUGGAAUUGCAAAAAAAAAAAAAAAUGUAGCCAGAGGUGUGUAUGUCACAGAAGUAGAAGAUUUAUAUAUGAAACUGCUUGUGAUUUGAGUAUAUACAAAUGUCCCCUUCCUCUCCAAACAUUCCUGUGACCUAAAAUUCUACUAUUAGAGUUUUUCUUACAUUAAAAACUGCAGCACCCCUGGGAAGUGAGAUGACAAAGAUCUGGAAUACAAAGCAUUGCCCAUAAAUGCAGCAGUGCUGACUUGUGAGCAGAAUAGGAAUGCUGAGUGCCUGGAGGAAGAUAUUGAGAAAUGGACAAGAAACCAAGGCCAAAUUAUUUCUUCUUCAAAAUUUCGCUAAGGAACACAUUGUUCUGAUCCUAUACUACAGAAUCCAAAGAAAGUUAAAACUCAUAAGGGGAGCACUGGACUUGGAGUCCAGGGUCCUAGUACAGGUGUGUUCACCCAUUAUGUACCCUAGGACAAGUCAGUGAACCUAUGAGAAAAUUCUGCUUCCACAGGUAAAUUAUGGUAAUUGGAGCUAAUGGUCUCGAAGCUCCAGAAUUCUAUAGUUUGUAUUUUAGAUAGCUAGAACUUGGUCCAGUAUCCAGUGAAGGGCAUAACAUCUAGCAAACUGAUGAAUUUUUGUUCCGUUUUCAAGUACUGUUGUCCAGAUUAAUUGUUUAAGCAAUAGAGUCUUCUGGAUUAUUGUUGAGAAUGACUUUCAAGUUAUGCUUCUGUUUGGGAAUUUUGGAAAGGGUGUUGUAUUUCUACAUACAGCAUGGUGGAAAGGCUAUCUAGUUUCAACUUUGUCACUAAGUUUCAAAGAAUUUCACUUUACUCCUUCCAGCUUAGCUUCAUUAUUUCUAAGGCUUUUUUUUUCUUAGCUAUUCCAUUAUAUCCUUUUCUAAUUGCUCCACAUAUCAGGGGCGCCUGGGUGGCUCAGUUGGUUGAGCAUCUGCCUUUGGCUCAGGUCAUGAUCCUGGAGUCCUGGGAUCGAGUCCAACAUCAAGCUCCCUGCUCUGAGGGGAGCCUGCCUCUCCCUCUGCCUCGCUCGCUCUCUGUCUCUCAUGAAUAAAUACAAUCUUUUAAAAAAAUAAUUGCUCUGCAUAGCAGUUCAUUAUAGAUGUAUACAUGUUGGCUUUUACUCUUUUUUUUUUCAGCAAAAGCCUGAAUUUAAUAAUUCUAGAUGGCUGUCAUAUAGUAAUGGUUUAAAAGAAAAACUUUUUGUAGUCCCUAAAGUAUUUCUGAUGUAGCCAUAUAUGCCAGCUCCCUAAGUCCCAUUCAUAAACUACUUAUGGGGGUUCUAUAGCCCCCAAGAGUGAGUAUCCUCAUGUUAGAUAGUUUAAGUGCCCACGUUAUGGUAUUUUGGUGACUUAGUCAUUUCCCUGUGAGUCAACCAUUUCAGCCUGCUUAUGUGCUCCUGUUGUUCCAGCUUCCAUGCCUAGAGAAUUUUUUAUAUAGAUCAUAGAUACAGAUAGAUAUAGAUGUACAUGUAGAGAUAGAGAUGGAGAUAGAGAUAGAGAUAGAGAGUAAGAUGACUCUCAUAUGGGGAAACUUGAAAAACAAUGGUCUUAAUUUGGAUCAAUUUAAUGCCAUUUCACAUUUUAUGAGUAUUUACUGUGUUUGUUACUCUGUUAGUCUGAGGUAAAAGAUUGCUUUUGACCUGGGAGAUCUCAGUCUAAAAGAUAUUACAAAGUCUUUCAUCUUUCCAUUCUCAUGGAGAUUGAUUUUAAAGGGAAAAUUGUUAGAUUUGAAAACUUUCCCAAUAAAUCUAUAUUCCUCCGAA